CGAGAUCCCUGAACAGGGUUACCAUUGGGGCCAGUGACUUCUACCGCCUUGGUACGUCCAUCAUCAGAUUGCUCGAUCUGGAACUCGACAUCCUCACCUUCUGCAAGGCUGCGAAAGCCAUCGGUACGUAUUGAAGACUGAUGAACAAAGAGAUCUUCACUACCAUCGUCAGGGGUUAUGAAGCCAAAACCCUUCUGGUCGCUGAACCACUUGACCUUCCCUGUCAUUCUCUCGCUACUCAUCUUCUUCACCACUGCCUAGAGACCCACAAAGCAAAAGACCCCCAAACCCUAGAAAUUUAAAAGGGGAAAUGCAAGAGAGAGACUCUACCAAUCUAAACAAAUCUCUCUCUCUCGGCUCUUGCUGUG
rnacentral:misc_RNA from 1 species